rnacentral:misc_RNA from 1 species
AGAUUAAGUGUCGCGACCUAAAAAAUCGCGACCACUUCCAACCCUCUGUUGUUAUAACUACCUUGUUGCUUUGGCGGGACCGUUCGGUCCUCCGAGCGCACCAGUCUUCGGACAGGUGAGCGCCCGCCAGAGUCCAACCAAACUCUUGUUUUUAACCAGUCGUCUGAGUAAACUUAAUUAAUAAAUUAAAACUUUUAACAACGGAUCUCUUGGUUCU